UGGGGAAUUUUGGACAAUGGGCGAAAGCCUGAUCCAGCAAUGCCGCGUGUGUGAAGAAGGCCUUCGGGUUGUAAAGCACUUUUGUCCGGAAAGAAAUCCUUGGCUCUAAUACAGUCGGGGGAUGACGGUACCGGAAGAAUAAGCACCGGCUAACUACGUGCCAGCAGCCGCGGUAAUACGUAGGGUGCAAGCGUUAAUCGGAAUUACUGGGCGUAAAGCGUGCGCAGGCGGUUUGCUAAGACCGAUGUGAAAUCCCCGGGCUCAACCUGGGAACUGCAUUGGUGACUGGCAGGCUAGAGUAUGGCAGAGGGGGGUAGAAUUCCACGUGUAGCAGUGAAAUGCGUAGAGAUGUGGAGGAAUACCGAUGGCGAAGGCAGCCCCCUGGGCCAAUACUGACGCUCAUGCACGAAAGCGUGGGGAGCAAACAGGAUUAGAUACCCUGGUAGUCCCACGCCCUAAACGAUGUCAACUAGUUGUUGGGGAUUCAUUUCCUUAGUAACGUAGCUAACGCGUGAAGUUGACCGCCUGGGGAGUACGGUCGCAAGAUUAAAACUC
rnacentral:rRNA from 1 species